CCCGUUGCGGAGCACAGGCUCCGGACGCGCAGGCUCAGCGGCCAUGGCUCACGGGCCCAGCCGCUCCACGGCAUGUGGGAUCUUCCCGGACCGGGGCACGAACCUGCGUCCCCUGCAUCGUCAGGCGGACUCUCAACCACUGCGCCACCAGGGAAGCCCCCUUCAUACCUUUUGAUGGAGGGCAGAAGACCGUAAAUGUACAGUGUUAUCCCCCUCACAUGAAUGCAGGCUGCUUCUGGCCUUCAUUCUCAGUAGAGAUGGAUAAGAAUACAUUUGCCAGAGUGACCAUGUGCCAGGUGUCACCAUGUACCUGAAGCAGUGUUAAUUUGCAUUUGUGUUUUUUGUAGGGACCUGGCUAGUGAAUCAGUUGGGAAUAUGAGAGCUACCACCCCUCUCUUUUCUAUCUCUUCUCAUCCCUACAGCCCUGUGCUAGGUACAGAUUAUGGACACGAAAGGUCUUUGACCUCAAGGAGCUCACAAUUGAAACCAUGCACCAGUGGAGGAGUCUGGACGUGCCAGGAUUUCAGCCUGCAACGUGAGUGGGUUUGUGGCUAAGAAGAUAAACCCUGUGAUGUGCUGGAGCUUUUCUAUUAGCUUCGGAGCUUGUAUUUUUCCUCCCUCGAGAGGUGCCCAGAUCCCUGACUGAAAAGGAGACAGCUUCCUGGAGGGCUGGGAAGGACAGGGCUAUCCUGCUGGGACCUGCCCUAUCAGCGGUGACACACAACCCCGC